UUCUUUUCCCGAAGGGAGCGAGGAGCUCUGGUCUGCCGCUAGCUGCUGCGCGUCCCCAGCCACCCCAAGCACCUUCUCCAGGCGCCGUCGCCGCUUGCCACCAGAUUCAGGCAAUCCCGGCCAUGCCGCCGCCCCGUGCGCAGUACGCCAACACCAGCCGCCGCAGCCGCGCUGCACCACCAACCCGCGGCACACACCAUUCCUCGACCUUUCCCGCUUCUACAGGCAGUCUGCCGCGCGCGGUGCUCCUCCAGGUUACUCCCUGGCUUCCCCACUUGCGUCACAGGCCACAACCGCUCCUCCCUCCUGCAUCCUGCCAUGCGACACUCUACGGCGGGCUUCCUCUCCUCAUGGCACUCCGACCACCAGAUCCGCGCGAGCUCACCCUGCAGCCAUGGUUUCGGGCGUUGACUCACGCCACUGUGCCUUCCCGGCCCCAUCGAAGGCAGGCGCCGCUGCCGUGGGGAGGUGGAUGGAGCGCACCCUUCUUUAGGCCCGUGGUGGGUGGCCUACUCCCUCUCCGGCGGCAUAGCCCUGCCCACCCCGGCUCCAGCUCCGGUGACACCUUCCCCAUGCCGUCGUUCUAGUGGAGGCGCAUAAGCUUGUUCUAGUGAUGGAUCUUGUCCUCGAGCAGUUCAUGGUGUGGAUCUCCAGCGGCUAGCUUUUUGGGUUUCUUCUACUCCUCCGACCCAGCCUUUGUAGUUGGAAAUUAUUUGGGGGUUAUCUGUAGCUAGCAGUUUGCUUGAACUGAAUAAGGAGUUGACUGAGCCGGCCAUUUCAGUUACCUCAAACCGAAAAAGGUGUGUUACUUGUCUAUUUGGAUACUUGGGUAGCCACUGAAUUUUAGUGUUGAGGUCUAAUAUGCGUCAGGGCAUCUAAACUGCAGCAUUUACUGACGUGAUGUGUAUAGCUUACAAGGAUACAUGUCUAUGUACUUGCAUGUUUAAUUCUUACUUGCAAAUAAUGUUGUGUCAAGAGA